CACAGUAAGAGGAUGCCAUCUAUAAAUCAGAAAGCAGAGUCUCACCAGAUACUGAAUUUGCCAGUGCCCUGAUCAUGGACCCUCCAGCCUUCAGAAUUGCAACAGACACCUGAGCCAUGUACUCCUCCUGAUGGAUCGCAGGAGCAUAAGAUGCACUUCUCACAAAACUGGGACAACUAACUGUUUAUCCAACAUCUGCUGGCUAAAUAAAGACAUGAUCUUCACCUUUUGGGAUUGUUAAUUUAAAAUGGUUCCAUAAGAGCAAUGCAAAGACAGAGAUAUUUGGCAGCACUGCAGCUGGUGAUUUAUAUGGCUCUUCACAAGGUGUUAUUUUGGGGUAUCAAGGUAUGGAUGCUUAAAUCAGCUGCAGGAAGUAAGAAAGAAGAAAAAAGGAGUGAUAAAGAUAAAAAAAAAUCAACCUUGGUCCUUCCACCAAGACCCAUUAAUUUCCAUAUCAUCAUCUGCAUAAGAGGGAAGAUUCCUACAUGACCAGGUUACUGCAAGGAUGUGAAUUUUGAAUAUUAAAAUAUUAUACACAAUUGGAAAUAA
rnacentral:lncRNA from 1 species